GUUUAGAUCAUUUGGUUCUUUAAGUUCAGACAGAGAUUAAAGCGUUGGUCGGGCUCGAAAGCCCUUCGGUGGAGGCUCCCCAGCUAGGCUGGAGCGCCGCCCACCAGGGUACGGUACAUUGCACAAGGGUGGAUUGGCAGGCUCGGGCUUGCGCCGUUGCCGCACAUUCACUAAUGAUCCAUCCGCAGGUUCACCUACGGAUA
rnacentral:misc_RNA from 1 species